GACGAACGCUGGCGGCGUGCUUAACACAUGCAAGUCGAACGGAAAGGCCCUGCUUUUGUGGGGUGCUCGAGUGGCGAACGGGUGAGUAACACGUGAGUAACCUGCCCUUGACUUUGGGAUAACUUCAGGAAACUGGGGCUAAUACCGGAUAGGAGCUCCUGCUGCAUGGUGGGGGUUGGAAAGUUUCGGCGGUUGGGGAUGGACUCGCGGCUUAUCAGCUUGUUGGUGGGGUAGUGGCUUACCAAGGCUUUGACGGGUAGACGGCCUGAGAGGGUGACCGGCCACAUUGGGACUGAGAUACGGCCCAGACUCCUACGGGAGGCAGCAGUGGGGAAUAUUGCACAAUGGGCGGAAGCCUGAUGCAGCAACGCCGCGUUCGGGAUGACGGCCUUCGGGUUGUAAACCGCUUUCGCCUGUGACGAAGCGUGAGUGACGGUAAUGGGUAAAGAAGCACCGGCUAACUACGUG
rnacentral:rRNA from 1 species